AAGUCGUAACAAGGUUUCCGUAGGUGAACCUGCGGAAGGAUCAUUAACACGUAUCCAAACGUUAACCCCCCUGUGAACCUUUAGUGUGCUCGUACCUUUGUCAGAGCGUGGCAAUCCCUAGUAAAUCAUCGCCGAACAGUUUUCGAUUCAGGGACGUCUGCAAGGAGCGUGCAUGUUGUGCGAAGCAAGUGGCCUGGCAUCCCCAAGCAGUUAGUGUCUGAAAGUGUCACUAACGUUAGUGUCUGAAAGUGUCACUAACAUGUGUAAGGAUGACGCAGUCACGAUCGUUGGAGGCCCACACGGCCGACGACCGGGUCACUGGGUGCAAGCCCCCUUAUCACACCCCUGCUCUAUCUAUGGUGAUCCUGCGGGAAGUCCUGCGGUCGAACGCCGAAACCGAACAACUGUUAACAAUGGAUAUCUUGGUUCUC
rnacentral:misc_RNA from 1 species